rnacentral:lncRNA from 1 species
GUAGUUCUCAGGGCUAUUUCUGGAGUAAAAGUGACAGAAUGGGCAAAUAACUGAGACUUAUAAACAAAGACGAAUGUUCUCCACUGUCUAAUCUAUUGCAACUGGUUUUAACUGUUUCAACUGUAGAUGUCUGAAUGUUUUCCUUAACAGCUCACUUAAUUGUUAAAUUGUUUUACUGUCUACCAUGACACCUAUUCUUUCAUGAAUAUUUUUAAAAAUCUGUUUUUUUCUAUCUAGAUAAUUUUGAAUUUUAGAAACCCCCUUACAUUUUUAAGUGUGAUAUUACAUGUGGUACACAUUUUCCUGCUUGUUAUAUUGUUCAGAUAGAAUAAUUACAAUUACCAUCAGGACACAUGCUUUGGAAGGGGAAACACCACACUAAGUAUGCUGCUUAUUGGCCAUGAUCCAGCAUCAGUUUCAUUCCUUGGAAGAACUGUCUUGCAGAUUCAUAGACUCUAUGGCCCAUGUGGUUAUGACCCAUGGGCAAAGCGGGCUUUUGACGCAGCCCCUGAAUGUUAGCAAGUGCUGACAUAGGCCUCAUCAUUGGACAGAUGAGUAUAAACGCAAAAAAACAAGCUUUUCACUUUUGCCCCUGUCUCUUACAAUAUGUCCAUUAAAGAAAGUAGUGUCAUUCAUUGUCACUUUACUUCUGAGUGGAAACUUUGUUUUCUUGGAAGUUUUCAAACAAUUGUUAAAUCUUCAUUAGAACAAGCCUUUUUAUCUC